GACGAACGCUGGCGGCGUGCCUAAUACAUGCAAGUCGAGCGAAUCAAUGGGAGCUUGCUCCCUGAGAUUAGCGGCGGACGGGUGAGUAACACGUGGGUAACCUGCCUGUAAGACUGGGAUAACUUCAGGAAACCGGAGCUAAUACCGGAUAAUUUCUUUUCUCGCAUGAGGAAAGAUGGAAAGAUGGUUCUGCUAUCACUUACAGAUGGACCCGCGGCGCAUUAGCUAGUUGGUGAGGUAACGGCUCACCAAGGCGACGAUGCGUAGCCGACCUGAGAGGGUGAUCGGCCACACUGGGACUGAGACACGGCCCAGACUCCUACGGGAGGCAGCAGUAGGGAAUCUUCCGCAAUGGACGAAAGUCUGACGGAGCAACGCCGCGUGAGUGAAGAAGGUUUUCGGAUCGUAAAACUCUGUUGUCAGAGAAGAACAAGUCGGAGAGUAACUGCUCCGGCCUUGACGGUAUCUGACCAGAAAGCCACGGCUAACUACGUGCCAGCAGCCGCAGUAACAC
rnacentral:rRNA from 1 species